GUUUUGCUGAUAAGGAGUAUCGUGCCCGGCGUAAACUCAUCGCUGAGGUUGCAUUUGCUUACAAAUAUGGUGACCCAAUCCCAAUUAUUCAGUACACUGAGACCGAGCAUAAGACAUGGACAGCGGUGUUCAACACCGUGCGUGAUUUGAUGCCGAAGCACGCGUGCGCUGAAUACCGCCGCGUCUUCCGCAUGCUGGAGGAAGAGGGCA